GCAGCGCGUUCUGACCGUAAAAACCGCAACGUCGAGACCGACCUCAGUCAUCAUCAACGACAACCGCAAGGGGAGAAAGAGGAAUAAAAAAAAAGUUAACAGUGUCUCAUCUCGGAAUGGCCACAGAGGAAGAGAUCAGGAUCAAGGCUCGCGCCUACAUCGACGACCUAAUCCGCGCUGCUCUCAUUGAAGUCAAGAGGAAGAACGAUUUCGAUAUGGGUCGGAAUAAUUUCAAGCGGAGUGAAAGCAGUCUAGAGAGCAAGGACCAACAGCAAUGGUAUAAACGACUCCGGAGUCAACUCUGCACCUGCGUGAAACCCCGAGCUCGGUGAAGCGUUCGUUACAUCGUGAAUCUACGUCCAACAUAGAAUCGGAUGUGUUCGAAGAUCUGGAAUCGAUAUCGGAUGAAUGUCAGCCUUCCAAUGUCCAUGUGUGAACCGAGGAGAAGUAUUUUCGGCCCAUGCGGUCGAAAGCAUGUGAUCAGAAGGGGACGAGAUGGAAUGAAUCGGAGGGAGUCGUAUCGAAACGAAUAAAUGAUG